AUACGUAGGUGACAAGCGUUAUCCGGAUUUACUGGGCGUAAAGGGCGUGUAGGCGGUCUUGCAAGUCAGAAGUGAAAUUCCUGAGCUCAACUCGGGCGCUGCUUCUGAAACUGCAGGACUUGAGUGCUGGAGGGGAUAGCGGAAUUCCUAGUGGAGCGGUAAAAUGCGCAGAUAUUAGGAAGAACACCGGUGGCGAAGGCGGCUAUCUGGACAGUAACUGACGCUGAGGCGCGAAAGCGUGGGGAGCAAAAAGGAUUAGAUACCCUGGGAGUCCACGCCGUAAACGAUGAAUACUAGGUGUAGGGGGUAUCGACUCCCUCUGUGCCGCAGUUAACACAAUAAGUAUUCCGCCUGGGGAGUACGGCCGCAAGGUUGAAACUCAAAUGAAUUGACGGGG
rnacentral:rRNA from 1 species